UACGGGGGGGGCAAGCGUUGUUCGGAAUUACUGGGCGUAAAGGGCUCGUAGGCGGCCAACUAAGUCAGACGUGAAAUCCCUCGGCUUAACCGGGGAACUGCGUCUGAUACUGGAUGGCUGGAGGUUGGGAGAGGGAUGCGGAAUUCCAGGUGUAGCGGUGAAAUGCGUAGAUAUCUGGAGGAACACCGGUGGCGAAGGCGGCUCACUGGACCGGUUCUGACGCUGACGGCGCGAAAGCGUGGGGAGCAAACGGGG
rnacentral:rRNA from 1 species